GGUGAACGCUGGCGGUAUGGAUAAGGCAUGCAAGUCGAACGGGAGCACGGACUUCGGUCUGGUGGCGAGUGGCGAACGGGUGAGUAAUGUAUCGGAACGUGCCCAGUCGUGGGGGAUAACGUAGUGAAAAUUACGCUAAUACCGCAUACGAUCAAUGGAUGAAAGCGGGGGAUCGCAAGACCUCGCGCGAUUGGAGCGGCCGAUAUCAGAUUAGGUAGUUGGGGGGGUAAAGGCCCACCAAGCCAACGAUCUGUAGCUGGUCUGAGAGGACGACCAGCCACACUGGGACUGAGACACGGUCCAGACUCCUACGGGAGGCAGCAGUGGGGAAUUUUGGACAAUGGGCGAAGGCCUGAUCCAGCCAUUCCGCGUGCAGGAUGAAGGCCCUCGGGUUGUAAACUGCUUUUGUACAGAACGAAAAGGUUUCUACUAAUACUAGGAGCUCAUGACGGUACUGUAAGAAUAAGCACCGGCUAACUACGUGCCAGCAGCCGCCGCAG
rnacentral:rRNA from 1 species